rnacentral:lncRNA from 1 species
GGUAUUCUGGUUUCAUAACUUAACUGAAUCAAGGCAAUAUAGUGUUUCAGGUGAACUUCUCACUGACUAGGCUCACUAGAAGACUCAGCAGAAAGUUUGAAAAGAAUCAUGGAAACUCUCUGAGAGGACAGAUGAGGUUCACCGGCAGUAAAGUAAAUGAUGGCUGUCUGUGGAUUAAAGAUGAGGUGUAAUGUCUUUGUGGCAUGACACAAGGUUUUACAUGUCAUGAUAUGUGAACUUCUCUGAAGUACAUUUUGGGAUUUUGAUGUUCUUCAUGACAUACUAACUAUACUGGUGUGUGUUUGUGCAUGUGUACAUAGCUAUAAUUCUCUGUAUUUCCUCAUACUUUAAGCUUUUUAAUGGGGGUAGUGACAAACUGGAAAAAUAAUCUUGCCACCCUCUCUGGUAUGUCAUAGACUUUUUUUUUUUAACAAAUUUGAUAGAUAACAUGGUGCAUUGCGUCAGCUUC